AAAUUUAAUUUAAUUUAACAGAAGAAAAAUUUCCCCUCUCGCACUUCUUGUCUUGCUUUCUAGUUUCUACAGGAGGGCAGAAUAAAGCAGCCUCUUGUUUCAGCCUCUCCAAAGUCGAAAAAAACCUAAAGACCCAAAUACCACGCCAUGUCUCAGGUGGAUAACAGAAAUUCAUCAGCAGCGAAGCGCGCAAGAACUGAUGGUAGUCGCAGGGAGGAUGAUUGGACUUGUCCAAGCUGUGGCAAUGUCAAUUUUUCAUUUAGGACUACUUGUAACAUGCGUAAUUGUACCCAACCUAGGCCAGCUGAUCAUAUUUCGAAAUCUGCUGCCAAGCCCCUGCAAGCACCACAGGGUUAUUCAUCAGCUCCUUAUUUAGGUUCUGGUGCACCUUCUUCAAUGUAUAUGGGUGUGCCACCAUAUGGUUCUUCUCUCUUCAACGGGUCAUCUAUUCCUCCAUACGACGUUCCAUUCACUGGGGGCUCGGCUUAUCAUUACAAUUAUGGCAGCCGCCUUUCUGGUGGCAGUCCAUACAGACCGUUGCAUAUUUCAGGACCACCUCCUUAUUCUGGUGGAUCUAUGAUGGGAAAUGGUGGGAUGUAUGCAAUGCCCCCCCUAAUGGACCGGUAUGGAUUAGGUAUGCCAAUGGGCCCUGCAGCUAUGGGGCCAAGGCCAGGUUUUUUCCCAGAUGAUAUAUCUCAGAAGAAGGGUUCAGAUGCAUCACGUGAUAAUGACUGGACAUGCCCGAAAUGUGGGAACAUCAACUUUUCUUUUAGAACUGUUUGUAACAUGAGGAAGUGCAAUACUCCAAAGCCAGGGUCCCAGGUUGCAAAGUCUGACAAAAAUUCCAAACAAAAAAUGCCGGAGGGAAGCUGGAAGUGUGAAAAAUGCAACAACAUAAACUAUCCAUUCCGGACAAAGUGCAAUAGACAAAAUUGUGGGGCUGAGAAACCAGCUGAGUCAAAGAAGUCCCCUUCGCCGGCACCUGAUGAGGAUGAUCAGGAUUGUUCUUCAAACUCUUGUGAUACCCUAAACUUCCAGAAAUCCAGUCAUUCGUUAUGAAUUCAAGGUCAGACCUGAAAAGAAAGGUUUUUAAUCCACGAUGCUUCUGAGGGGAGGGAUAUUGGGACUCCAACUAUUGGUUGUUGGCCCCCAAGCUCCUCACGAUUGGUCCAAACCUCAGUUGGGUGAUUUGUGCGGCCUACUUGUUAAAGUUUGCGAGUUUGCAAAAAUCCAUCCAUUUAGCCAGUUGAUGCCCUCAACUGUUUUCGCAUUCCAUUCUAAUCGUGGGAUUGUUUUAGGAGAAAGAAGGCAAAGUUCUAUCUGAUGAUAUUGACGAUGCAAUUUCCUGCACUCUGACAAUAGCUUACGAUAGCAUCAAUAAAAGGAACGUCAUGAUGCGACAAGAAUCCAUUCCAUGAGAUGCCUGCUUGUGGUAAAAGGCAAGGGCUUGGAAACAUUGCUUUCAAGGUAAAGUAAAGACCAAGCUUUGUGACAUAAACGUGCGCGCGCAAGUGGGUGAUUGUUACCGUAACUUCAAAGCAUGGGUGAUCCCCACUUUUUCGCUACAAGCCAAGCUCUUCAUUCACGGAAGAAAAAAACCAUCCCAGCGCUGUCACAAAUGUCUCUUCAAAUUGGACCUGUUGUGACACCAAUUGAUUUGCUGGGCUUGCAAUUUCAAUGAAACAUUUUUCAUUUCUUUCUAAAAUUAUUUUUCAAUAAGAAAGUAGAAUAACGUGUUUAGUAAGUAAUGACUUUUCUGAAUGGAGAAAUAAGAACUUUGGUUGGAUUGUCUUCAACAGACCUCUUAUCUUUUAGUGAAUCCAAAAAAAUGAAUAAUACCCAUCGGAAAAAAAAAGUUCUUAUUUUAGUUUGUAGACGCUUUCAUUUUUUUAUAUAUAAAUCUUUUCAAACAAAAAAAAAUUGAGAAGAAGGAAAGCUCUCUACAAGUAAAGACGAUCCAAAUUCUCACGAUACAUGACAAUUAGGCUUGCUUUGCUCUUUACAGUCCUGAAUGGAAGGAAGGUACAUGCCCAAGAACAACAGCAAUUUGACCACAACUCAAGCUCGAGGCAGGAAGGGCUAUGUUUUUUUGCUUGCCAAUUAUUAUCCAAUGACAUCAUAUGUAUCAUUAUUGAUAAUGGCGAAUAUAUGGUUAGUCUGCCAGACAAGGAGAUGAUUGCAUGGAGGGGAAAAAAAUUACCUUCAACAUAAACUAUGAUAGGUUAUCAAGUACCCCGAAAAAUAAUCAGUCAGCAACCAGCACUUGUAAACUAGCAGAAUAGACACCAUUCAGUAAUGACACCAAAUUUUCAAACA